rnacentral:rRNA from 1 species
UACGUAGGGGGCAAGCGUUGUCCGGAAUCAUUGGGCGUAAAGAGCGCGUAGGCGGCCCGAUAAGUCCGCUGUGAAAGUCAAGGGCUCAACCCUUGAAUGCCGGUGGAUACUGUCGGGCUAGAGUCCGGAAGAGGCGAGUGGAAUUCCUGGUGUAGCGGUGAAAUGCGCAGAUAUCAGGAGGAACACCAAUGGCGAAGGCAGCUCGCUGGGACGGUACUGACGCUGAGGCGCGAAGCGUGGGAGCAACAGG